UACAGAGGGGGCAAGCGUUGUUCGGAAUUACUGGGCGUAAAGGGCGCGUAGGUGGCUUACUAAGUCAAACGUGAAAUCCCUCAGCUUAACUGGGGAACUGCGUCUGAUACUGGAAAGCUUGAGUGCAGGAGAGGAACGCGGAGUUCCAGGUGUAGAGGUGAAAUUCGUAGAUAUCGGGAGGAACACCGGUGGCGAAGGCGGCGACCUGGGUUGACAUUGACGCUGAGGCGCGAAGGCCAGGGGAGCAAACGGG
rnacentral:rRNA from 1 species